GCCUCGGUAGUGUAGUCGUAGAGCACGCAUCCCGCAAUAGGAUGAAACGCGGGUCGAUUUCCGCCUGAGUCC